rnacentral:rRNA from 1 species
UACGUAGGGGGGCGAGCGUUGUCCGAAGUUACUGGGCGUAAAGCGCGCGUAGGCGGCUUUUUUAAGUCUGGGGUGAAAGGUUCUGCGCUUAACGUGAACAGUGCCCUGGAGACUGGAAGGCUUGAGUGUGGGAGGGGGCAGUGGAAUUCCUGGUGUAGCGGUGAAAUGCGUAGAUAUCAGGAGGAACACCGAUGGCGAAGGCAGCUGCCUG